UUUUCGCUGCAGUGGGGAUUUUUCCACCUUGGACGAAAGUAUGAUGGAGCAACGCCGCGCGAGUGAUGAAGGUUUUUCGGAUCGAAAAACUCUGUUGUUAAAGAAAAACAAGUGUUAGAGUAACUGUUAACACUUUGACGGUAUUUAACCAAAAAGCCACGGCUAAUUACGUGCCAGCAGCCGCGGUAAUACGUAGGUGGCAAGGGUUGUCCGGAUUUAUUGGGCGUAAAGCGAGCGCAGGCGGUUUUGUAAUUUUGCUGUGAAAGCCCUCAGCUCAACUGAGGAAGUGCAGUGGAAACUACAAAACUUGAGUACAGAAGGGGAAAGUGGAACUCCAUGUGUAGCGGGGAAAUGAGUAGAAAUAUGGAAGAACACCAGUGGCGAAGGGGGGUUUUUGGUCUGUUACUGACGCUGAGGCUCGAAAGCAUGGGUAGCGAACAGGAUUAGAUACCCCGGUAGUCCAUCCCGUAAACGAUGAAUACUAGGGGUUGGAGGGUUUCCGCCCCUCAGUGCCGCAGCUAACGCAUUAAGUAUUCCGCCUGGGGAGUACGACCGCAAGGUUGAAACUCAAAGGAAUUGACGGGGGCCCGCACAAGUGGUGGAGCAUGUGGUUUAAUUCGUGCUACGCGAAGAACCUUACCAGCUCUUGACAUUUUUUGCCAACCCAAGAGAUUGGGGGUUCCCUUAGGGGACAGAAUGACCAGGUGCGACAUGGGUGUUUUCAUAUUAAUUUCUGU
rnacentral:rRNA from 2 species